rnacentral:rRNA from 1 species
CCCUUAGAUGCUCUGGGCCGCACGCGCGCUACACUGGUCGAUGCAACGAGUUUCUUUCCUUGGCCGACAGGCCUGGGCAAUCUUUGAACAUCGAUCGUGAUCGGGAUAGAUUCUUGUAAUUUUUGAUCUUAAACGAGGAAUUCCUAGUAAACGCAAGUCAUCAGCUUGCAUUGAUUACGUCCCUGCCCUUUGUACACACCGCCCGUCGCACCUACCGAUUGAAUGGUCCGGUGAAGUGUUCGGAUCGAGGCGACAUGGGCGGUUCGCUGCCUGUGACGUUGCGAGAAGUCCACUGAACCUUAUCAUUUAGAGGAAGGAGAAGUCGUAACA